UACGUAGGGGCCUAGCGUUGUCCGGAAUCAUUGGGCGUAAAGAGCGCGUAGGCGGCCCGGUAAGUCCGCUGUAAAAGUCAAAGGCUCAACCUUUGAAUGUCAGUGGAUACUGCCGGGCUAGAGUCCGGAAGAGGCGAGUGGAAUUCCUGGUGUAGCGGUGGAAUGCGCAGAUAUCAGGAGGAACACCAACGGCGAAGGCAGCUCGCUAGGACGGUACUGACGCUGAGGCGCGAAGGCCAGGGGAGCAAACGGG
rnacentral:rRNA from 1 species